rnacentral:rRNA from 1 species
CCUACGGGGGGCAGCAGUAAGGAAUAUUGGUCAAUGGGCGGAAGCCUGAACCAGCCAUGCCGCGUGCAGGAAGACGGCCUACGGGUUGUAAACUGCUUUUAUACUGGAAUAUGUACAGUAAGAAUAAGGAUCGGCUAACUCCGUGCCAGCAGCCGCGGUAAUACGGAGGAUCCAAGCGUUAUCCGGAUUUAUUGGGUUUAAAGGGUGCGUAGGUGGCUUUUUAAGUCAGGGGUGAAAGACGGUAGCUUAACUAUCGCAGUGCCCUUGAUACUGAAGAGCUUGAAUACACUAGAGGUAGGCGGAAUGUGACAAGUAGCGGUGAAAUGCAUAGAUAUGUCACAGAACACCAAUUGCGAAGGCAGCUUACUAUGGUGUAUUGACACUGAGGCACGAAAGCGUGGGGAUCAAACAGGAUUAGAUACCCCUGUAGUC